rnacentral:piRNA from 1 species
UGGUGAAACCAUGGACAAAGGACCCAUGC